rnacentral:rRNA from 1 species
AUUGAACGCUGGCGGCAGGCCUAACACAUGCAAGUCGAGCGGAUGCAGGGAGCUUGCUCCUGGAUUCAGCGGCGGACGGGUGAGUCAUGCCUAGGAAUCUGCCUGGUCGUGGGGGAUAACGUCCGGAAACGGGCGCUAAUACCGCAUACGUCCUGAGGGAGAAAGUGGGGGAUCUUCGGAUCUCACGCUAUCAGAUGAGCCUAGGUCGGAUUAGCUAGUUGGUGGGGUAAAGGCCUACCAAGGCGACGAUCCGUAACUGGUCUGAGAGGAUGAUCAGUCACACGGGAACUGAGACACGGUCCAGACUCCUACGGGAGGCAGCAGUGGGGAAUAUUGGGCAAUGGGCGAAAGCCUGAUCCAGCCAUGCCGCGUGUGUGAAGAAGGUCUUCGGAUUGUAAAGCACUUUAAGUUGGGAGGAAGGGCAGUAAGUUAAUACCUUGCUGUUUUGACGGUACCAACAGAAUAAGCACCGGCUAACUUCGUG